rnacentral:rRNA from 1 species
ACUAGGAUUAGAUACCCUAUUAUUAAAAUUUAAAAUUAUAAUACUAAAAUAGUAAUUAAUUAUUUAUUGAAACUUAAAUAAUUUGGCGGUAUUUUAGUUCAUUUAGAGGAAUCUGUUUAAUAAUUGAUAUUCCACGAAUAAAUUUACUUAAUUUAUGAUUUUGUAUAUCGUUGUUAUAAAAAUAUUUUUUAAUAAAAUUAAUAUUUUAAAAUUAUUAUAUAAAUUUAAAUCAGAUCAAGAUGCAGAUUAUAAUUAAGAAUAUAAUGGAUUACAAUAAA